rnacentral:ncRNA from 2 species
UACAUCGAAGAGGUUGCAGAUGAUAUUAGUAAUUGUUGUGAGAUGAUAAGGCAUCGAUGAUCAACAGUGAAAGGAGAUUUUGCCGAAGUUUAACUUAGCCUGAGUAAGUUGAACUGGGGUCUGGCUGAAAAAGUCAGAAACUGUCGCAAUCAGAUUUGCGGAGCGCUAUCGAGUUU